UCAGCCUGCUUGUCAAAAGGCUUGUUUUAAGUUUUACAGUGCUUAAAAGGUUAAAAAGCAACUACUUAACAUGAAGCAGUGAACAACUUAACAGUAAAGAGCUGAUGAAACCCUGAGAAUUGGUGCAAGUUAUGACCCUAAAGAGCAAUUGAAAUUAUCAGAGGUUAGUUGGUGAGCUGAGACCAAAAACUAAAGGAAGGACACUUCAGCUUCAAGCUUUUUUGAAGUUUACUUUUUUAAAUCUGAAAAUGAACCACCUGCCCUGUCGUACCUCAAACCGAACACGUACGUGCAGAGAAGCAAUGGGCAAAAGCUGCUGCUGCUGGAGACAUUUGAGGACAAGAGAAGAGUAUUGUCAAGCCCCCUCUGAGGGGAAGCAGGCUACAGUUCCCUUAGAGGGCAUUUCCUCACCAGGAGGACCACUGCUGAAAAGUUCCUCCAACUUAUCUCCCUCCAGUCUGCUUGUUACACCAACCAUUGUUUCUGAUAAACAAGGUGCUGGCCUUCCACCCAGAACUCUGGCCACAGACAAUUGCUACCAGGCAGUGGAUGAGCAGGAGGCAGCAGCACAGUCAUUAAACAAUUUGCAUCUAUAGGAAGAGAAUGUCUGACCAAAUACUAGUGGUACUAUCAGCCAAAUCAUUGAUGCUAAUGUAGGGGGGGAAAAAAAGGAAGAGAAGAAAGGGGAGAGAACUCUGGUCUUUGCUAAAUAAACUGAACUGAAACAAUUUUGUUGAAUACAGGUCAAGUCUUACAGUGAGAUGUAAAUCCUUCGAAACACUUCACCUGAAACCUCAGCUUGUACAAGGAGUCCAUGCAGUGAGCUUCUACUGAUAACCUAAUUCAUUUUCUAUGGUGCUGGCUCAACCUCCACAAAACCUGAUCAUCCAGUUUCAGCCUAGUACUAGGAAAACAAUGACCUCUGUUCAUACAAUGUUCUGUCAAAUGGAAUCCCCCAUUACCCUCAGUGUUUGUACUAUGAAAUAAGUUGACAAUUAGGAAUGGAAAAAUGAUUUGAUGUGGAAAAAUUUGGCCCAUAAACUUAAGACUUGCUUAUGCUUUUAGAGGUAAUAAAUUGUAAAUGUAUGGGGAGUUCAUGACCGCCAUUGCUACACAGUUCUGAAUGGUGCUCUAAGUUUAAAUUAAUUGACCCCACCAAGAUUCAGGUAUUUCUUAGAUGAAGUUAAUGCCCUGAUAGCUACCCAAAGACAUCAAGAACAGAGAAUGCUCCCUCAGAUUGUUGUGUGGUUCUUUCUCUCCUUUGAAGAUUCAGUGAAGAAGUUUGCAACAAACUACAAUAUGACAAGAUCUUAGACACUAUUUAGCA